GCACUCUUAAUUCAAUUGGGUAGAACGUGGGUCUCCAAAAUCCGAUGUCGUAGGUUCAAAUCGUACAGAGCGUG
rnacentral:tRNA from 1 species